UGGUCACAGAUUGUUAUACUUCUAAUGCUCAGAGCUUGGCUGUUUGUGCUGAAUGAGAGGAAUGGGCUGCUUGUAACUUCACAACCAGCCCUCUGCAUCCAACCGGCUGGCCAGCCUCUCCUUCAUCAGCCUUGGAAGUGGAUGAGCAGUUCCAGCUGAAGUUGAGAUAGGUUUUAAUCACCUUAAUUUCCUAUGAGGUCUAUGAGAAUUGAAAACUGUUUAGAAGGAAAAAAUUAAUGGUAGUGCUCUUGCACACAGAAGCACUGUCAGAAACCAUCAGUUACAAGGGUUUGAUGGGAGCUGCAGGGCCAGCCCACGUUCUCCAUCUCCAGACUGGCCACUGCAGGUAUCUGCAGCCAGGGCUGUAGCAAAUGGAGCAGAUGGUUAUGUUAUUGCACUGGGUGGAGACAUUGGGGACAAAGGAACUCAAGUUUUGCUAACUUUGCUCCUUGUGGUACAGACUCUUAUCUUAGGAAUUAGAGGAUAGCCUCAUGGAUAGCUUUAUUUAUUUAUUUGUUUGCUUAUGUAUGUAUGUAUGUAUUUAUUUAUUUAUUCAUUCAUUCAUUUAUAUGCACAUAUACAUAUUUGUAUUUGCUUCAUCACUUCCAGGGCAAGAUUCUUCUGGCUGAUCUAGUUUUCAAAGUCGAUAACAGUUCAGCCUGUACACAAUUUUCAGUUUUGUUUUUUUUCGGACCUAAGAUCACUGAUGAAGAUUUAUUAUCCAUGGUACUGCCUGCAAAGCAGUGGGAAGAUCAAACAGCCAGCUGCUCAACAUUGGUCACUGCCUUCAGAGAACGAUGAACACAUCAGCACGGCUGAGCGCUGCUGUAGAUCACCCAGCACACACAGAGGCCAGGGGAGAUCCUGCACUCCAGUCCCACAUCGAUCAGCAGCAUCAGCCCCACAUCGUCAGCAGCAGCACAUCCUGCUCCUUUGCCAUGGAGGGCAGCUGAUUUUUGUGGUCACCAGGGAAUGGGAGACGCAUGGCAGCAGUUGGGACAGCACAGACACAUGCAUCUGGUCCGCGGCUGUGGCGUGCUCAUGAGUGAGAUGCACUCUCAGGAGGGAGAGGAGGUUCUUCAAUACGUCUUAUGAAAGAGUCUUCUCACAAGAAAUGCCUCGGAAAGCAAACUUUGGGCCAAAAACAGAAAAGGCUUCAGACACCACCACGUGGCUUGAAGAUUGCAUGAAACUGAUGCAUAAGUGACCAUCCAGGAUGGUGGAAAGAAAAAAAGAAGGAAAAAAAAAAAAAAGCGUAAGGGAAAGAGGGGGCGAAGGAGGAGUUAAGUGCUACACAAUCACUGCAAAAGUUUUUUGUGGGCUUGGUUGCAAAUGUUGCCAUGAUCUGCUGGAUUUGUUCAUCAGAACAAGUGAUUACAAAGUACAACACAUUGUAUAAGUUGAGUAAAACAUGCAAUCAUACAAGGUACCAACACAAGAGUUGCAAUAAAUA